rnacentral:rRNA from 1 species
GAUGAACGCUAGCGGCAGGCCUAAUACAUGCAAGUCGGACGAUAGAUAGAAGCUUGCUUUUUAUCGAAAGUGGCGCACGGGUGCGUAACGCGUAUGCAACCUGCCUUUAUCAGGGGGAUAGCCUCUCGAAAGAGAGAUUAACACCGCAUAACACCGUUUCCCGGCAUCGGGGGAUGGUCAAAUAUUUNUAGGAUAAAGAUGGGCAUGCGUGACAUUAGCUAGUUGGCGGGGUAAGGGCCCACCAAGGCGACGAUGUCUAGGGGAUCUGAGAGGAUGGCCCCCA